rnacentral:rRNA from 1 species
GACGAACGCUGGCGGCGUGCUUAACACAUGCAAGUCGAACGGUGAAGCGAGUGCUUGCACUCGUGGAUCAGUGGCGAACGGGUGAGUAACACGUGAGUAACCUGCCCAUCACUCUGGGAUAAGCACUGGAAACGGUGUCUAAUACUGGAUACGACCAACCCUUGCAUGGGGUGUUGGUGAAAAGAUUUAUCGGUGAUGGAUGGACUCGCGGCCUAUCAGCUUGUUGGCGGGGUAAUGGCCCACCAAGGCGACGACGGGUAGCCGGCCUGAGAGGGUGACCGGCCACACUGGGACUGAGACACGGCCCAGACUCCUACGGGAGGCAGCAGUGGGGAAUAUUGCACAAUGGGCGAAAGCCUGAUGCAGCGACGCCGCGUGAGGGAUGACGGCCUUCGGGUUGUAAACCUCUUUCAACAGGGAAGAAGCGAAAGUGACGGUACCUGCAGAAGAAGCACCGGCUAACUACGUG